GACAGUCUGAUCAUUUCACUGGAUGCAAUCAGAGUAAGCAGCGCCGUCUCCCUGAUACUAGCCGACGCUCUUUGCUGAAGAGAGAUGUAGGAGGGUCGUGGCGUCCUUGUUAGCCUCUCCUGUGAAAAGAAGCGCUACCUAAAGAUUCUAGCAGCCCUGCCACUCCUUGGAACCAGGAGACUGGAUCUAUGUAAAGGUCCACCAACGAAAGACUGCUUUGGCUCCAUGCUGGAAAGGCCCUUAUUAAGUCCUGCUGACUACCAACACCACUGUGAAGUGCCAAAGACUGACUGCUUGGACCCAGAUUCUCACUGCAAAAAGACCCCUCUACCUCAGGAGGAUUCUCCUACUGAUGAUUAGCCAAUUCCUCCUUCUAGCUCUGUUGUGCCUUCUGGACAGCAGGAAAAAGGGACAAAGUGAAGUGCUAGUAACCUCUCCCUUGUCCACUGACAGAUCUACUGUGCCUUUGGAUUUUUCUAGAAGAAUCAAAACCAUGGCAGGGUGAUGUGCUGGUAACCUCUCCCCUGUAGGAUGCUGAACCAUGACUGUUUCGAGGAAGAAGAAGGAACACUCACUCCUCUGACAUUGCCAAAGUCCAGGAAUUCCUGACUAGAAAGGACAUUAAGAACUGACCCUGGUGAAGAAACAAAGAAUUAUACACUGGCAGGAAGAAAUUUGUGGGACCCAUGCUUGGGAAUGUGGUAUUGAUUGGAUUUUGGAGUUUAUUCUACAGGCUGCACCCUGUGUUUGGGAUAAAUCCUUCAGCAUGUCUUGCUCUCCCUAACUGGAUUUUAAAUAACAAAUACCCAAAGAGUUUGUUCUGGCACUGGAAAUUUUACCUGUAUUGAAACCAUUCCAGUGACUGAUAAUGUAACCUGUACCUUAUUGCAAUACACCCCCUCCUAUGCUAUUAAUGUUAGUGCCUUUUGAAAGUACCUGAGAAUAGUUAAAGAACAGAUGUGAUAUAGUACUACACCAGAGAUGUAUUAGGAUAUCAAUGGACUGUGAUUAAAACAACACUAGGGACUGUCAAAUUUACAUUGCCCUUAUCCAGUUUCCCGAUCAGCUCUACAUACCCAAAUUGCUCACAAGGGGCUGCCAUUAGAUUAGCACAACAGAGGACCUGGGUUAUUUCCUCUGGAAGAAGAGGGACUUGAUCAGAUCCCUAUGGGAUGGGACCAAUAGUGCAGCAGUCAUUUGGAAUAUUCUUAAAAGCCAAGAACAUGAUGAGAAAUUGGGCCAACUAGAAAAGGCCACUAGCCUUAUUUCUGGAGCUCAGCUAACCCAAGUACAGGCUGGAGUUGGUGAGUUACAUGUCAUUUCCACCUUUAGUUCAAUGACCCAGAAGUUACUAACAGAGAUGGUAUUGAAUAUCACUGAGGCUGGGAAGGCAUUUCAGUGGGAUCUAGUAUGUUUAGAAAUUCAGGAUUUCCUGAAUGACCAGCUGAUGGCCAUUUGGAGUGAUCUUGAGUACCAGCCUUGGCCCACUGCCCUUACAGACACAUCAGGAGUACCAUCUGAUCUGUGGUCAUGGAGACAUACUUGGACACUUUCUGGGUGGAAGUGUGGACAUUUACAGUGCUCCUUCCAAGCAUAAGGACCAGUUAGGGGGAUGUGGGCUCCCACAUACCAAAUCCUGAUGGGUCCAUGGGGAGGAUGCAUGUGGGACUGGAUUAUUCACCGAGACAUCUGGGAAAUUAGAUCACCUAGAAUACCUAACUGAUUUAUAGUCAGUGCCCCUAGAAUAACACCUGAUAUUUUGGAUAGGAAUAGGGAGUCAAUGGACAUUUGGUUGUUAGAAACCCUACAGCUUCAGUGUAUCCAUAAACUGAAGCCAGGGAAAGUUGUCAAUGUGCAUAAUAACGUUUGCUGGGAGGGUAGAGGACAAAGAACUAUCCUGACAGGACACCUACUUUUUCAAGCUAAUGAUAGCUGUGUGUAUGUUAGAACCACCACAUUGCAAGAUACACAUUUUAAUCUCAUUACCACUGCAGGCAAUCAUAUUGUUUGUUGGUCUGCAGAUAGAAUUUUGCAAGUAGCCCUUAGUUUCCAGAUACCCUUUAAUUGGACAAGCUUAGUACCUGAUCGAUUUCAAGAUUUGCUUUCAUUGUUACCAGCGGUUCAAAGGAUCUCUGAAAUAUAAGGGCAAAUUUACAUGCUUCAAAAUAUAUAUCAAGCUGAAAAGAAUGCCUUUCAUACAGCUUAUAGAAUGUUUACUUUAUGUACUAAGUCUGAUAUAUUGUGCUUUGUGACCAAAACUGUACAACAACCCCAUCAUAUUAUUGCUUUGGGAAUGUUAUUGCUUGUAUUGCUGUUAGUUAGUUUAGGAUUAUGUUGUUGUUGUAAAAUAAUAAUAAUACCUUUCAUGUC